GAUGAACGCUGGCGGCGUGCCUAAUACAUGCAAGUCGAGCGGAAAGGCCCUUCGGGGUACUCGAGCGGCGGACGGCUGAGUAACGCGUAGGAACGUACCCCAAAGUGAGGGAUAACUGCUCGAAAGAGUAGCUAAUACCGCAUGUGCUCUUCGGAGUAAAGCUUCGGCGCUUUGGGAACGGCCUGCGUCCUAUUAGCUCGUUGGUGAGGUAAUUGCUCACCAAGGCGACGAGAGGUAGCUGGUCUGAGAGGAUGAUCAGCCAGACUGGGACUGGGACACGGGCCAGACUCCUACGGGAGGCAGCAGUAGGGAAUUUUCCACAAUGGGCGAAAGCCUGAUGGAGCAACGCCGCGUGCAGGAUGAAUGCCUUCGGGUUGUAAACUGCUUUUAUAGGUGAAGAAUAUGACGGUAACCUAUGAAUAAGGAUCGGCUAACUCCGUGCCAGCCGCCGCAGUAA
rnacentral:rRNA from 1 species